ensembl:snRNA U6 U6 spliceosomal RNA
AUGCUCACUUCGACAGCACAUACACUAAAAUUGGAACAAUACAGAGAAGAUUAACAUAGCCCCUGAGCAAGGACGACAUGCAAAUUCGUGAAGCAUUCCAUAUUUUU